rnacentral:misc_RNA from 1 species
AAGUCGUAACAAGGUUUCCGUAGGUGAACCUGCGGAAGGAUCAUUGCAAAUCAGCGUCAGGAGGCAUGUUUGUACGCGGCUUGCCGCGUGCAACAUGGUUAACUGACAAAUUUGGUCGGGAUUGGUGGAGAGUGGAGGGGGCCGUGCGCGAUGCGCGUGGUGUCUUUCAGUCUCUGCCAUUCCGUAUUCACGCUUGUAUUGUUUGCCAGAGUAUGUAACACAAGACAAAAUUGACAACUUUUAACAAUGGAUCUCUUGGCUCUU